rnacentral:rRNA from 1 species
UGGUGAAUAUUGCACAAUGGAGGGAACUCUGAUGCAGCGACGCCGCGUGAGUGAUGAAGGAAUUCGUUUCGUAAAACUCUGUUCUAUGGGAAGAAAAGGACUGUACCAUAGGAGAAAGCUCCGGCUAAAUACGUGCCAGCAGCCGCGGUAAUACGUAUGGAGCGAGCGUUGUCCGGAAUUAUUGGGCGUAAAGGGUGCGCAGGCGGCUUUACAAGUUGGAUGUGAAAUAUUGUGGCUCAACCACAAACGUGCAUCCAAAACUGCAAAGCUUGAGUUAAGGAGAGGUAAGUGGAAUUCCUGGUGUAGCGGUGGAAUGCGUAGAUAUCAGGAGGAAUACCGGUGGCGAAGGCGACUUACUGGACUUAAACUGACGCUCAGGCACGAAAGCGUGGGGAGCAAACAGG